UACGGAGGGUGCAAGCGUUAUCCGGAUUUACUGGGUUUAAAGGGCGCGUAGGCGGCUUAACAAGUCACUUGUGAAAUCUCCGGGCUUAACUCGGAACGGCCAAGUGAAACUGUCAAGCUAGAGUGCGGAAGGGGCAAUCGGAAUUCCUGGUGUAGCGGUGAAAUGCGCAGAUAUCAGGAGGAACACCGAUGGCGAAGGCAGCUCGCUGGGACGGUACUGACGCUGAUGCGCGAAAGCCAGGGGAGCGAACGGG
rnacentral:rRNA from 1 species